UACGGGGGGGCAAGCGUUGUUCGGAAUUACUGGGCGUAAAGGGCUCGUAGGCGGCCAACUAAGUCAGACGUGAAAUCCCUCGGCUUAACCGGGGAACUGCGUCUGAUACUGGAUGGCUUGAGGUUGGGAGAGGGAUGCGGAAUUCCAGGUGUAGCGGUGAAAUGCGUAGAGAUCAGGAGGAACACCCGUGGCGAAGGCGGCGCCCUGGUCCGUUACUGACGCUGAGACGCGAAAGCGCGGGGAGCGAACGGG
rnacentral:rRNA from 1 species